rnacentral:rRNA from 1 species
GAUGCUACCUGGUUGAUCCUGCCAGAGUA